GAGUUUGAUCAUGGCUCAGAACGUACGCUGGCGGCACGCCUAACACAUGCAAGUCGAACGAAGUAGCAAUACUUAGUGGCAGACGGGUGAGUAACAUGUAGGUAUCUGCCCUUUGGCCUGGAAUAACACGAGGAAACUUGUGCUAAUACCGGAUAAGUCUUUACGGAGAAAGCUUUAUGCACCAUUGGAUGAGCCUGCACUUGAUUAGUUUGUUGGUGGGGUAAUGGCCUACCAAGACUGUGAUCAAUAGCUGAUUUGAGAGGAUGAUCAGCCACAUUGGGACUGAGACACGGCCCAAACUCCUACGGGAGGCAGCAGUGGGGAAUCUUGCACAAUGGAGGAAACUCUGAUGCAGCGAUGCCGCGUGAGUGAAGAAGGCCCUUGGGUUGUAAAGCUCUUUCGUCGGGGAAGAAAAUGACUGUACCCGAAUAAGAAGGUCCGGCUAACUUCGUGCCAGCAGCCGCGGUAAUACGAAGGGACCUAGCGUAGUUCGGAAUUACUGGGCUUAAAGAGUUCGUAGGUGGUUGAAAAAGUUAGUGGUGAAAUCCCAGAGCUUAACUCUGGAACUGCCAUUAAAACUUUUCAGCUAGAGUAUGAUAGAGGAAAGCAGAAUUUCUAGUGUAGAGGUGAAAUUCGUAGAUAUUAGAAAGAAUACCAAUUGCGAAGGCAGCUUUCUGGAUCAUUACUGACACUGAGGAACGAAAGCAUGGGUAGCGAAGAGGAUUAGAUACCCUCGUAGUCCAUGCCGUAAACGAUGUGUGUUAGACGUUGGAAAUUUAUUUUCAGUGUC
rnacentral:rRNA from 1 species